AAAUAUAUCUCAAAGAAUUAAGUCAGUUAGAUACAGAAUCAAUUGCAUGCGAGAGUGGCCUGGAGAGACUUGGACAGCACGGGUCAACCCAAUGCCUGCAGCUGCCACUCAUUUCCUGUAAGA
ensembl:snoRNA